rnacentral:rRNA from 1 species
UACGUAGGUGGCAAGCGUUAUCCGGAAUUAUUGGGCGUAAAGGGUGCGUAGGCGGUUUCUUAAGUCUUAUGUGAAAUCUCAGAGCUUAACUCUGGGCUGCAUAAGAAACUAUUAGACUAGAGUGCAGGAGAGGGCAACGGAAUUCCAUGUGUAGCGGUAAAAUGCGUAGAUAUAUGGAGGAACACCGGUGGCGAAGGCGGUUGCCUGGCCUGUUACUGACGCUGAAGCACGAAAGCGUGGGGAGCAAAUAGG